GAUGAACGCUGGCGGCGUGCCUAAUACAUGCAAGUCGAGCGAACAGACGAGGAGCUUGCUCCUCUGACGUUAGCGGCGGACGGGUGAGUAACACGUGGAUAACCUACCUAUAAGACUGGGAUAACUUCGGGAAACCGGAGCUAAUACCGGAUAAUAUAUUGAACCGCAUGGUUCAAUAGUGAAAGACGGUUUUGCUGUCACUUAUAGAUGGAUCCGCGCCGCAUUAGCUAGUUGGUAAGGUAACGGCUUACCAAGGCAACGAUGCGUAGCCGACCUGAGAGGGUGACGGGCCACAGUGGAACGGAGACGGGGUCAGGACUCCUAGGGGGGGAAGAAGAGGGGAUUUUCCGGAAGGGGGAGAAACCGUGAGGGAGAAACGCCGGGUGAGAGAGAAGGUUUUUGGGAGCGAAAAACUCUUUUAUAGGGAAAGAAAAAAGGUGAAAGUAACAAGGCAGGUUUGGAGGGACCUAAAGAAAAAAGCCAGGGCAAAAGACG
rnacentral:rRNA from 1 species